AACGCACGAGACCUGCGGACCUGCGGAGGGAUCAUUACAAGUGACCCCGGUCUAACCACCGGGAUGUUCAUAACCCUUUGUUGUCCGACUCUGUUGCCUCCGGGGCGACCCUGCCUUCGGGCGGGGGCUCCGGGUGGACACUUCAAACUCUUGCGUAACUUUGCAGUCUGAGUAAAUUUAAUUAAUAAAUUAAAACUUUUAACAAUGGAUCUCU
rnacentral:misc_RNA from 1 species